UAAGCAUAUCAAUAAGCGGAGGAAAAGAAACUAACAAGGAUUCCCCUAGUAACUGCGAGUGAAGCGGGAAAAGCUCAAAUUUAAAAUCUGUCAGUCUUUGGCUGUCCGAGUUGUAAUCUAGAGAAGUGUUAUCCGCGUUGGACCGUGUACAAGUCUCCUGGAAUGGAGCGUCAUAGAGGGUGAGAAUCCCGUCUUUGACACGGACUGCCAGGGCUUUGUGAUGCGCUCUCGAAGAGUCGAGUUGUUUGGGAAUGCAGCUCAAAAUGGGUGGUAAAUUCCAUCUAAAGCUAAAUAUUGGCGAGAGACCGAUAGCGAACAAGUACCGUGAGGGAAAGAUGAAAAGAACUUUGGAAAGAGAGUUAAACAGUACGUGAAAUUGCUGAAAGGGAAACGCUUGAAGUCAGUCGCGUUGGCCAGGGAUCAACCUUGCUUUUGCUUGGUGUACUUCCUGGUKGACGGGUCAGCAUCAAUUUUGACCAUUGGAAAAAGAUUAGGGGAAUGUGGCAUCUUCGGAUGUGUUAUAGCCCUUGGUUGCAUACAAUGGUUGGGAUUGAGGAACUCAGCACGCCGCAAGGCCGGGUUUUUAACCACGUACGUGCUUAGGAUGCUGGCAUAAUGGCUUUAAUCGACCCGUCUUGAAACACGGACCAAGGAGUCUAACAUGCCUGCGAGUGUUUGGGUGGAAAACCCGAGCGCGUAAUGAAAGUGAAAGUUGAGAUCCCUGUCGUGGGGAGCAUUGACGCCCGGACCAGACCUUUUGUGACGGUUCCGCGGUAGAGCAUGUAUGUUGGGACCCGAAAGAUGGUGAACUAUGCCUGAAUAGGGUGAAGCCAGAGGAAACUCUGGUGGAGGCUCGUAGCGAUUCUGACGUGCAAAUCGAUCGUCAAAUUUGGGUAUAGGGGCGAAAGACUAAUCGAACCAUCUAGUAAGCUGGUUCCUGC
rnacentral:rRNA from 1 species